rnacentral:lncRNA from 1 species
AGGGUGCUGCCUCCCUAUCCACUGGGAGUCCUUUUGCGUUUCAGAUGCUCCCAGGCUCUCCCGCAGUUUAAAGACUUAACUCAGCGGCUUUCAGGGCCUGUGGUUGAGGGACUCCGAAAGAACUGUUGCUGGUGGACCGGUUCAGGGUCUUGACUUCGCCACACAAAAGAACUUGAGAGCACGUCCAAAGUAAAGCUAAGACCUCUAGUACAGUGUUCAAUGGAACUGGUGAGAAAAGACGUCCUUGCUGUGUUCCUGAUAUGAAGAGGAAAGCAGUCCUUCUCCAUUAAGUAAAAUGCUGACAACAUGAGCCUCCCGUGGUCGGAACGGGCUUGUGAAGGCGGUGCUGGGGUGCACCAGGGCAGCAGCUACAGCUACAACUCAAAUCCCAGGAACACAGGAUUGCAGUGACCUACAUAAUUUGGGCUCAAAUACCUUCAAGGCAUUCCGAAGAGACAGAGAACACCAGAACAAGGGAGAAUUGGAGUGGAGGUGGAUGCUGAAAUUCCAGUAUAAAAAUCUACUCUGGCUGAGGAAUAAGACAAAAUAAGAAAUGCAAUAUAGUCGCUACUCAGGAAUUUUGACUGAGGUUGGACAUUGUUUAGAAAUGGGAACAAGUUUGAAGGAUAGGAUGGAGGGAAGGAAAAUAUUUUUUAUUGCUUCCAAUAUAGUGGCUUUCAUAAAGCUGAAAGUCUCCCCUGGAAGAAGACCUCAGGGGCCCUUUCCUGAACAGGUGAGAAUGGUUUGUAAUUAACAUAUUAAUUGGUAGGUGCUUCUGAAAUGCUGGAGGAUGCUUGAGAAAGGACUUGAGUAGUUCCAGCAUUACCUUUUCCAAAUUGUUCUUGUCAUAAAUUGACUCAGCCAACCCUCUUCUUUAUACAAAGGUUAACUUCCCGUCCAGCAGGUGUGGGUUAUCACAGUCUACAUGUGGCAGUUUCUGUAUAAUAUUUGCCUCUGGGUGCCCCUGUGAAAACAGCUAAAAAUAGGGACUUUUGGAGAGAGAAGUCUAUCGGGACAGCUAAGGACUGCAGGUGACCUUGAAGCCAUGAGGAUAAGUCCCCGCUUUUUGGAAGAGGCAGCCGGAACCUGUUAGACUGCUACUGAAGCUCGGUACGUUAUCUAUACCGGCAUCUAACUGCUGCCAGCCACUAAGAAAUGUUUUCUUGCUACAAACAAAAAAUAAAAAGAAAAAUAACAUUAUCUGCA